rnacentral:misc_RNA from 1 species
UCUCCGUAGGUGAACCUGCGGAGGGAUCAUUACAAGUGACCCCGGUCUAACCACCGGGAUGUUCAUAACCCUUUGUUGUCCGACUCUGUUGCCUCCGGGGCGACCCUGCCGUUUCGACGGCGAGCGCCCCCGGAGGCCUUCAAACACUGCAUCUUUGCGUCGGAGUUUAAGUAAAUUAAACAAAACUUUCAACAACGGAUCUCUUGGUUCUGGCAUCGAUGAAGAACGCAGC